rnacentral:rRNA from 1 species
AUUGAACGCUGGCGGCAGGCCUAACACAUGCAAGUCGAACGAGUCGCGGACGUGUGAGUAAUGUCUGGGAAAAUGCCUGAUGGAGGGGGAUAACCACGGGACACGGGAGCUAACACCGCAUAACAUCAGAUGUGCCCAGAUGGGAGUAGCUUGUUGGAGGGGUAACGGCACACCAAGGCGACGAUCCAUAGCUGGUCUGAGAGGAUGACCAGCCACACUGGAACUGAGACACGGUCCAGACUCCUACGGGAGGCAGCAGUGGGGAAUAUUGCACAAUGGGCGCAAGCCUGAUGCAGCCAUGCCGCGUGUAUGAAGAAGGCCUUCGGGUUGUAAAGUACUUUCAGCGGGGAGGCGUUACCCGCAGAAGAAGCACCGGCUAACUCCGUGCCAGCAGCCGCGGUAAUAC